rnacentral:rRNA from 1 species
UACGAAGGGAGCAAGCGUUGUCCGGAUUUAUUGGGCGUAAAGAGCGUGUAGGCGGCCAGACAGGUCCGUUGUGAAAACUGGAGGCUUAACCUCCAGACGUCGAUGGAAACCGUCUGGCUAGAGUCCGGAAGAGGAGAGUGGAAUUCCUGGUGUAGCGGUGAAAUGCGCAGAUAUCAGGAAGAACACCCGUGGCUAAGGCGGCUCUCUGGGACGGUACUGACGCUGAGACGCGAAAGCGUGGGGAGCGAACAGG